rnacentral:lncRNA from 1 species
CAAUUCAUUGAAACCUUCAAGGAAUGCAUUUAUUUGAGGGCGAAUAGCAUUUGUCAGAAUAUGGUCAGCAACGAGAUCAACAUACUCGUGCUUUGUCUCUUCCGUGACCCUUAUAUUUCUUCCGCCAGGUUUAAGCUCAUAAUCAGUAACCUUACUCAUGCAAAAAAUAAAAAAAUACUUUUGUGACCCUUAUAUUUCUUCCUCCAGGUUUAAGCUCAUAAUCAGUAACCUUACUCAUGCAAAAAAUAAAAAAAAUACUUUAGAUAUUACCUCAACAGAGUAAUCUGACUUGCACAUUUAAACUUUUAAGGGAGAACCAAAAAUU